rnacentral:rRNA from 1 species
AAGUAAAAGUUGUAANAAGGUUUCCGUAGGUGAACCUGCGGAAGGAUCAUUAAAAAAAA